UGCCUGCUCCUCGUGUUCACUGUUGGCCUUGAUGUUUUAAUGAUCAUAAGGCACGCGGUGAAUGCCAAGAGCUAGCUC
rnacentral:pre_miRNA from 16 species